GAACAAACGCUGGCGGCGUGUCUUAAGCAUGCAAGUUGAGCGGCAAGGAGGAGAGAUCCUCCCUAGAGCGGCGGACUGGUGAGUAACGCGUGGGUAAUCUAUCUUAGGCAUGGGGAUAGUCACUAGAAAUAGUGGGUAAUACCGAAUAAGUUCCAUAAGGGGAGGACUUAUGGAAGAAAGGUGCUACGGCACUGGCCUUAGGUGAGCUCGCGUCCCAUUAGCUAGUUGGUGAGGUAAAGGCCCACCAAGGCGAUGAUGGGUAGCCGGCCUGAGAGGGUGUACGGCCACACUGGGACUGAGAUACGGCCCAGACUCCUACGGGAGGCAGCAGCUAAGAAUAUUCCGCAAUGGACGGAAGUCUGACGGAGCGACGCCGCGUGGAUGAAGAAGGCCGAAAGGUUGUAAAGUUCUUUUGCUAGGGGAGAAUAAGUGUGGGAGGGAAUGCCUGCACGAUGACAAGGACUAGCGAAUAAGUCCCGGCCAACUACGUGCCAGCAGCCGCGGUAACACGUAGGGGGCGAGCGUUGUUCGGAAUUACUGGGCGUAAAGGGCAUGUAGGCGGCUUGGUAAGCCUGGCGUGAAAGUCUGCAGCUUAACUGUAGGGAUGCGUUGGGAACUGCUUAGCUUGAGUUACGGAGAGGGAGCUGGAAUUCCUGGUGUAGGGGUGAAAUCUGUAGAUAUCAGGAAGAACACCGAUGGCGAAGGCAAGCUUCUGGCCGACAACUGACGCUGAGGUGCGAAAGUGUGGGGAUCAAACAGGAUUAGAUACCCUGGUAGUCCACACAGUAAACGAUGUGCACGAGGUGCUGGGGCGGUAGUUUCAGUGCCGGAGCGAACGCGGUAAGUGCACCGCCUGGGGAGUAUGCUCGCAAGGGUGAAACUCAAAGGAAUUGACGGGGGCCCGCACAAGCGGUGGAGCAUGUGGUUUAAUUCGAUGGUACACGAGGAACCUUACCUGGGUUUGACAUACGGAGGGAAGUGGCAGAGAUGUCACUGCGUAGAGAUACGGCUCCGUACAGGUGCUGCGUGGCUGUCGUCAGCUCGUGCCGUGAGGUGUUGGGUUAAGUCCCGCAACGAGCGCAACCCACGUCCCUAGUUGCCAGCAUUCAGUUGGGCACUCUAUGGAAACUGCCGAUGAUAAGUCGGAGGAAGGUGUGGAUGACGUCAAGUCCUCAUGGCCCUUACGGGUUGGGCUACACACGUGCUACAAUGGUAGUGACAAUGGGUUAAUCCCAAAAAGCUAUCUCAGUUCGGAUUGGGGUCUGCAACUCGACCCCAUGAAGUUGGAAUCGCUAGUAAUCGCGGAACAGCAUGCCGCGGUGAAUACGUUCCCGGGCCU
rnacentral:rRNA from 1 species